CAGCCGCCGCGGGAAUACAGAGGGUGCAAGCGUUAAUCGGAUUUACUGGGCGUAAAGCGUGCGUAGGCGGCUUCUUAAGUCGGAUGUGAAAUCCCUGAGCUUAACUUAGGAAUUGCAUUCGAUACUGGGAAGCUAGAGUAUGGGAGAGGAUGGUAGAAUUCCAGGUGUAGCGGUGAAAUGCGUAGAGAUCUGGAGGAAUACCGAUGGCGAAGGCAGCCAUCUGGCCUAAUACUGACGCUGAGGUACGAAAGCAUGGGGAGCAAACAGGAUUAGAUACCCCUGUAGUCCCUGUCUCUUAUAC
rnacentral:rRNA from 1 species